rnacentral:rRNA from 1 species
UACGGAGGGUGCAAGCGUUGUCCGGAUUUAUUGGGUUUAAAGGGUGCGUAGGCGGCCCUGUAAGUCAGUGGUGAAAUUCUUGAGCUUAACUGAAGGAUUGCCAUUGAUACUGUAGGGCUUGAGUACAGAUGAGGUAGGCGGAAUUGAUGGUGUAGCGGUGAAAUGCAUAGAUACCAUCAAGAACACCGAUUGCGAAGGCAGCUUACUAAGCUGUAACUGACGCUGAUGCGCGAAAGCCAGGGGAGCAAACGGG